GUCCACGCCGUAAACGAUGGCCACUCGGCCUUUGGGGGCGGAUUAACCGUUCUUGGGGGCCUUAGCAAACGCGGGAAGUGGCCCGCCUGGGAACUACGAGCGCAAGCUUAAAACUCAAAGGAAUUGACGGGGGCCCGCACAAGCAGCGGAGCGUGUGGUUUAAUUCGACGCAACGCGCAGAACCUUACCCAGGUUUGACAUGGCCCUGCAAGCCGGUGAAAGCCGGUCGCCUUCGAGGGUGGGCCACAGAUGCUGCAUGGCUGUCGU
rnacentral:rRNA from 1 species